rfam:Stegodyphus mimosarum contig33083, whole genome shotgun sequence.
GCCUUUGUGGUGUAAUGGUCAGCACACUUGGCGCGUAUUCGAGAGGUCCGCGGUUCGAGUCCUGGCGAGGGCA